CUUGAGGGAGCCGAGCCAGAGAGGCUGUCCGGCGGGGCGGUUCCGGCCGUAGGUGGCAAGUACGGCCUGGGCCUC
rnacentral:antisense_RNA from 1 species